AUCUCAUGUUACUCUGGUCAAAAAUUAAUGGAUGAAAGUCAGAAUAUAUUUUACCGAGCAUAUGCAGCAGAAUGGUACUAUUUUUCGCCUAGAAUAAAAUCUCUAAUGAUGAUAAUUCUUUACAGAAGUAAUGUGCCAUGCAAAAUAAAAGCAGGUAAUAUGGUUCCGUUGUCGAUAGCUACCUAUGCUGCAGCAGUACGAAUGGGCAUAUCUUAUUUCACAGCGUUUUUAUCACUCAAAGAGUGAUUACCGAAUUUUCAAAUUCUAGAUCUAGUUC